UACGUAGGGUGCGAGCGUUAAUCGGAAUUACUGGGCGUAAAGCGUGCGCAGGCGGUUAUGUAAGUCAGGUGUGAAAUCCCCGGGCUUAACCUGGGAACUGCAUUUGUGACUGCAUAGCUAGAGUACGGUAGAGGGGGAUGGAAUUCCGCGUGUAGCAGUGAAAUGCGUAGAUAUGCGGAGGAACACCGAUGGCGAAGGCAAUCCCCUGGACCUGUACUGACGCUCAUGCACGAAAGCGUGGGGAGCAAACAGG
rnacentral:rRNA from 1 species